rnacentral:rRNA from 1 species
GCUGGUGGCAGGCCUAACACAUGCAAGUCGAGCGGUAGAGAGAAGCUUGCUUCUCUUGAGAGCGGCGGACGGGUGAGUAAUGCCUAGGAAUCUGCCUGGUAGUGGGGGAUAACGUUCGGAAACGGACGCUAAUACCGCAUACGUCCUACGGGAGAAAGCAGGGGACCUUCGGGCCUUGCGCUAUCAGAUGAGCCUAGGUCGGAUUAGCUAGUUGGUGAGGUAAUGGCUCACCAAGGCGACGAUCCGUAACUGGUCUGAGAGGAUGAUCAGUCACACUGGAACUGAGACACGGUCCAGACUCCUACGGGAGGCAGCAGUGGGGAAUAUUGGACAAUGGGCGAAAGCCUGAUCCAGCCAUGCCGCGUGUGUGAAGAAGGUCUUCGGAUUGUAAAGCACUUUAAGUUGGGAGGAAGGGUUGUAGAUUAAUACUCUGCAAUUUUGACGUUACCGACAGAAUAAGCACCGGCUAACUCUGUGCCAGCAGCCGCGGUAAUACAGAGGGUGCAAGCGUUAAUCGGAAUUACUGGGCGUAAAGCGCGCGUAGGUGGUUUGCUAAGUUGGAUGUGAAAUCCCCGGGCUCAACCUGGGAACUGCAUUCAAAACUGACUGACUAGAGUAUGGUAGAGGGUGGUGGAAUUUCCUGUGUAGCGGUGAAAUGCGUAGAUAUAGGAAGGAACACCAGUGGCGAAGGCGACCACCUGGACUAAUACUGACACUGAGGUGCGAAAGCGUGGGGAGCAAACAGGAUUAGAUACCCUGGUAGUCC